AUACGGAGGGGGUUAGCGUUGUUCGGAAUUACUGGGCGUAAAGCGUACGUAGGCGGACUGGAAAGUUGGGGUGAAAUCCCGGGGCUCAACCCCGGAACUGCCUCCAAAACUUCCAAUCUAGAGAUCGAGAGAGGUGAGUGGAAUUCCAAGUGUAGAGGUGAAAUUCGUAGAUAUUUGGAGGAACACCAGUGGCGAAGGCGGCUCACUGGCUCGAUACUGACGCUGAGGUACGAAAGCGUGGGGAGCAAACAGGAUUAGAUACCCUAGUAGUCC
rnacentral:rRNA from 1 species